UACGUAGGGGGCAAGCGUUGUCCGGAAUCAUUGGGCGUAAAGCGCGUGUAGGCGGCUAGGUAAGUCUGCUCUGAAAGCCCGGGGCUCAACCCCGGGAGGCGGGUGGAUACUGUCUAGCUCGAGUCCGGAAGAGGAGUGUGGAAUUCCUGGUGUAGCGGUGAAAUGCGUAGAUAUCAGGAGGAACACCGGUGGUGUAGACGGCUUUCUGGACCGUAACUGACGCUGAGACACGAAAGCGUGGGUAGCAAACAGG
rnacentral:rRNA from 1 species